UGGCGUUAAACCUAAAUCGUUUAUUGAGAUAAUGCUCGAGAAUGGACAUCAGAUGACGUUUAACCAAUUACGGAAUGAAAUAAUAACUGUUAUGAUUGGAGGUCAAGACACGACAGCUAUGGCGAACGCGUGUACAAUAUUUAUGUUGGCUCAUCAUCAGGAUGUACAAAAUAAAGUGUUGGAAGAGUUAUUGGCAAUAUUUUCUUCUGGCGAUCCGGAUCGACCACCUGCCUAUGAGGAUUUA